UUGUUUUUAUAAUUUUUACCAAUAUUCAGUUUCUGUAUCGUUUAGUAGUCUGAUAUUCUUACUGGGUUAGUGUAACUCACUAUUUCAUGAACUAUUUCAUAUCAAGAGAACCAAGAUCCAGAUCCUGAUCAACAAGAGAGUUGUGAAUAGUUCACCACCCGAAUUCCCUUCAAAAUCUAGUGAAAGUCGUUAUAGAAUGCUCAGUAUAUUGUUUCUUAUUUAUUUAUUUGAUUUUCGUUUGUUUAUUU
rnacentral:lncRNA from 1 species